GGCCAGUCUGAGUGCGGUGGUGUCUACAACUAAUUGAUCACAGUGAGUUACAGAUUUCUUUGUUCCUUCUCUAUUCUCACUGCUUCCCUCGACUAGCCUUAU
ensembl:misc_RNA Y_RNA Y RNA